AUUGAACGCUGGCGGCAGGCCUAACACAUGCAAGUCGAACGAGUGGCGGACGGGUGAGUAAUGUAUGGGUAACUGCCUGGUGGCGGGGGAUAACUACUGGAAAGGGUAGCUAAUACCGCAUACCAUCAGAUGUGCCGAGAUGGGAUUAGCUAGUUGGUGGGGUAAAGGCUAACCAAGGCGACGAUCCAUAGCUGGUUUGAGAGGAUGACCAGCCACACGGGUACUGAGACACGGCCCAUACUCCUACGGGAGGCAGCAGUGGGGAAUUUUGGACAAUGUGGGCAAGCCUGAUCCAGCCAUCCCGCGUGUAUGAUGAAGGCCUUCGGGUUGUAAAGUACUUUCGGCGGAGAGGCGUUAUCCGCAGAAUAAGCACCGGCUAACUCCGUGCCAGCAGCCGCGGUAAUUC
rnacentral:rRNA from 1 species